AACGAACGCUGGCGGCAGGCCUAAAACAUGCAAGUCGAACGGGUGUAGCAAUACAUCAGUGGCGCACGGGUGAGUAACGCGUGGGAACAUGCCCCUUAGUACGGGACAACGUCGGGAAACUGACGCUAAUACCGUAUAAUAUCUCCGGAUCAAAGAUUUAUCGCUGAGGGAGUGGCCCGCGUCUGAUUAGCUAGUUGGUGAGGUAAUGGCUCACCAAGGCUACGAUCAGUAGCAGGUCUGAGAGGAUGAUCUGCCACACUGGGACUGAGACACGGCCCAGACUCCUACGGGAGGCAGCAGUUAGGAAUAUUGGACAAUGGGCGAAAGCCUGAUCCAGCCAUGCCGCGUGUGUGAUGAAGGCCCUAGGGUUGUAAAGCACUUUCGUUGGGGAUGAUAAUGACCGUACCAAAGAAGAAGCACCGGCUAACUUCGUGCCAGCAGCUGCGGUAAAACGUAGCGUG
rnacentral:rRNA from 1 species